rnacentral:rRNA from 1 species
GACGGAGGGGGCAAGCGUUGUCCGGAAUCACUGGGCGUAAAGCGCACGUAGGCGGGCCGGUGCGUCGGUGCUGAAAGCGCCAGGCUUAACCUGGCGAGGCGUGCCGAUACGACCGACCUCGAGGCAGGCAGAGGGUGGCGGAAUUCCGGGUGUAGUGGUGAAAUGCGUAGAGAUCCGGAGGAACGCCGGUGGCGAAAGCGGCCACCUGGGUCUGACCUGACGCUGAGGUGCGAAAGCGUGGGGAGCAAACAGG